AUUGAACGCUGGCGGCAGGCUUAACACAUGCAAGUCGAACGCGUGGCGGACGGGUGAGUCAUGCUUGGAAAUCUCGCUUAUGGCGGGGGAUACCUACGGGAAACUGUCGCUAAUCCCGCGUACCCUUGGAUGAGCCCAAGGUGGAUUAGGUAUUUGCUGAGGUAAAGGCUCACAAAGCCGACGAUCUCUAGCUGGUCUGAGAGGAUGACCAGCCACACUGGCACUGAGAAACGGCCCAGACUCCUACGGGAGGAAGCAGUGGGGAAUAUUGCGCAAUGGGGGCAACCUGACGCAGCCAUGCCGCGUGAAUGAAGAAGGUCUUCGGGUUGUAAAGUGCUGUCAGUAGCGAGGCGUUAACUACAGAGAAAGCACCGGCUAACUCCGUGCCAGCAGCCGCGGUAAUUC
rnacentral:rRNA from 1 species